rnacentral:misc_RNA from 1 species
GAUGAAGAACGUAGCGAAAUGCGAUAAUUAAUGUGAAUUGCAGAAUUCGGUGAAUCAUCGAGUCUUUGAACGCACAUUGCGCGUCAUGGUAUUCCGUGAGGCAUGCCCAUCUCAGCGUUAGAAAAUAUUCUCAAAUUUUAGUUUUGUGCUAAAAUUUGGAUCAUGUCAAGGAAUCUAUUACUAUUAUUGUGAUCGCUCUUUGGAAAUUGAUAGGUCUUUAAGUUGCUACUCAUAGAACGUGAUGAAUCUUUUUUUGUUCUAUUGUAAUUCACUCUGGUAGUCCUAAAACUUGUAUGCCUGUGGCAUAUCUUGUAGUUUGACCUGAGAUUGGGUAGGGAUACCCGCUGAACUUAAGCAUAUCAAUAAGCGGAGGA